rnacentral:rRNA from 1 species
UAUGGCUCAGGAUGAACGCUAGCGACAGGCUAACACAUGCAAGUCGAGGGGCAUCACGGGAGUAGCAAUACAACUGGUGGCGACCGGCGCACGGGUGAGUAACGCGUAUGCAACCUACCUAUCAGAGGGGAAUAACCCGGCGAAAGUCGGACUAAUACCGCAUAAACAGGGGCACCGCAUGGUGAUAUUUGUUAAAGAAAUUCGCUGAUAGAUGGGCAUGCGUUCCAUUAGGUAGUUGGUGAGGUAACGGCUCACCAAGCCGACGAUGGAUAGGGGAACUGAGAGGUUGGUCCCCCACACUGGUACUGAGACACGGACCAGACUCCUACGGGAGGCAGCAGUGAGGAAUAUUGGUCAAUGGGCGGGAGCCUGAACCAGCCAAGUCGCGUGAAGGAAGAAGGAUCUAUGGUUCGUAAACUUCUUUUGCAGGGGAAUAAAGUGCAGGACGUGUCCUGUUUUGUAUGUACCCUGAGAAUAAGGAUCGGCUAACUCCGUGCCAGCCGCGGC